rnacentral:rRNA from 1 species
GACAGAGGUGCCGAGCGUUAGGCGGAAUCACUGGGCUUAAAGCGUGUGUAGGCGGCCUUCUAAGUACCUUGUGAAAUCCCACGGCUUAACCGUGGAACUGCUUGGUAUACUGGUUGUCUUGGGCCAUCUAGGGGCUACCGGAACAAACGGUGGAGCGGUGAAAUGCGUAGAUAUCGUUUGGAACGCCAAUGGUGAAAACAGGUAGCUGGGGAUGUGCCGACGCUGAGACACGAAAGCCAGGGGAGCAAACGGG